GGAUAGCUCAGUGGGAGAGCAGAUGACCGCUAAUCAUCCUGUCUCGGGUUCGAAUCCCGAUCCA
rnacentral:tRNA from 1 species